rnacentral:rRNA from 1 species
UACAGGGGGGUGCAAACGUUGCUCGGAAUCAUUGGGCGUAAAGCGCACGUAGGCGGUUCGUUAUGUCGGAUGUGAAAGCCCUUGGCUUAACCGAGGAAGUGCAUCCGAAACUGGCGAGCUAGAGUACGAAAGAGGAUCGCGGAAUUCCCGGUGUAGAGGUGAAAUUCGUAGAUAUUGGGAGGAACACCAGUGGCGAAGGCGGCUCACUGGACCGGAACUGACGCUGAGGCGCGAAAGCGUGGGGGAGCAAACGGG